rnacentral:rRNA from 1 species
GACGUAGGUGGCGAACGUUAUCCGGAAUUAUUGGGCCUAAAGCAUCCGUAGCCGGUUCUACAAGUCUUCCGUUAAAUCCACCUGCUUAACAGAUGGGCUGCGGAGGAUACUAUAGAGCUAGGAGGCGGGAGAGGCAAGCGGUACUUAGUGGGUAGGGGUAAAAUCCGUUGAUCCAUUGAAGACCACCAGUGGCGAAGGCGGCUUGCCAGAACGCACUCGACGGUGAGGGAUGAAAGCUGGGGGAGCAAACCGG